GCCGGAGUUGAGCAGUGGUAGCUCGCUUGCUUGGAGAGCAAGUUUCCUCUGGAUAUGUAGGUUCGAUUCCUACCUCCGGCG
rnacentral:tRNA from 1 species